UGCCAGUGGUCAGCUGGCUAUAAGGGGCAAGGCCCGGCUCUUACGAAGGAAAAGGAAGAGAAGGGAGUUGAAACUAAAGGCAGUUGCUGGCUGGCAUCUAAGACAGCAGGAGCACCCUACCAGAGAGAGAGAAGCUCCUGGAGCAUGUUGUGAGGAGAAGCCUGACUGCAGGAGGAGGGAUAUAUCAGGGUCCUUGGCAGUGCAUGUCAGCAUCUGCAAGAAGAGUGGUGAAAGCUCAGCCCACUGAGCUAGGAGUAACACAGCUUGGGACAAUACUUACCAGAGAUGGCUUUUGAAACCCCAGGCCAGUGAUUCUCAACUGGGGUGCCACAGCACCUUGGGGGUGCCACAACAUGCUUUUAAAGGUGCUUGAGGACAUGAGCAGCCUCCCAGAAGUGACCCAACAUGGCUUGUCCCCACCUCCCACCGGGGCUGCGUGGAGUUGCUCAUGGUGGUGAAAGACCUGUCAAGCUGACCUGGCCUGGACAAGAAAGACGGUACUAGGGCUUCUGGUAGAGAAGCCAGUAGAGGACAAGCCAGUAGAGAAUGAGCUGCAGUGGUUCAUGAGGAAUCAACACAGGGAGAAACAUUAACUGCAGAGUGGACACGGAGACAUGAAUGGCAGGCGGGGGGAUGUAAUACAGCUCAUUCAGAGCCAGGCUGGUUGCAGGCACAGAACCAGGACUUGGUGCUGCGUCUGCUCCACGGCAUGAGGCUGGACCCACUGACACUGGGCACAUGCUGCCAGAGCUCACUGGAGAGACCCCAGCACUAACCCACCAUGCACAGAGGCUGAUAUCUUCAGGUAAGGAAAUGAAGUUUCAGUUUCUCACAAGUGUGCCACAAAUAUUGGUCCAUAUUCUGUAGUCAGACCAGUGCACCUACAUAGCUAUGUGGCUGCGACCCUGAAGUGUUUUUAUUUUCUGACUUCUUCUGUAUGCAUAACUUCUUAACUGUAAUCUUGCCUUAGAAUUAGUGUUCCUGCUUUAUUUCCAUGUUCUUGAUUAAAAAAAACGAACCCUAAAAAAAUCUAAAAAGAUCUCAUCUAAGAUAAAGGGACUUAAAAAAAAAAAAAAAGAACAACCAGACCAUUC